CAGUCGCCACGGGAAUACGGAGGGUGCAAGCGUUAUCCGGAUUUAUUGGGUUUAAAGGGUCCGUAGGCGGAUCUGUAAGUCAGUGGUGAAAUCUCACAGCUUAACUGUGAAACUGCCAUUGAUACUGCAGGUCUUGAGUAAAUUUGAAGUGGCUGGAAUAAGUAGUGUAGCGGUGAAAUGCAUAGAUAUUACUUAGAACACCAAUUGCGAAGGCAGGUCACUAAGAUUUAACUGACGCUGAUGGACGAAAGCGUGGGGAGCGAACAGGAUUAGAUACCCGUGUAGUCCCUGUCUCUUAUAC
rnacentral:rRNA from 1 species